UACGUAGGGUGCAAGCGUUGUCCGGAAUUAUUGGGCGUAAAGAGCUCGUAGGCGGUUUGUCGCGUCUGCUGUGAAAACUCGGGGCUUAACUCCGGGCCUGCAGUGGGUACGGGGCAGACUAGAGUGCGGUAGGGGAGACUGGAAUUCCUGGUGUAGCGGUGAAAUGCGCAGAUAUCAGGAGGAACACCGGUGGCGAAGGCGGGUCUCUGGGCCGUAACUGACGCUGAGGAGCGAAAGCGUGGGGAGCGAACAGGAUUAGAACCU
rnacentral:rRNA from 1 species